rnacentral:sRNA from 1 species
AAUAUUGAUCAUGAUAUUCCCUGUUUAAAAUCCUUCAAUUCUUUCUUAUAGGAAAACAUCAAAACUCUAGCCUCAUUCUUCCCUCUUUCUCCCUUAACACUUCUGUGUUCUAGCCACAUUGUACUUCUCAGCCUAACUAUGCAUGCUAUGUUCUUUUUAUUUUUUGAGAUGGAGUUUUGCUCUUGUUGCCCAGGCUGGAGUGCAGUGGCACGAUCCCCGCUUACCGCCGCCGCAACCUCCGCCUCCCGGGUUCAAGCAAUUCUCCUGCCUCAGCCUUCCGAGUAGCUGGGCACCACCAUGCCCGCCUAAUUUUGUAUUUUUAGUAGAGACAGGGUUUUUCCUUGUUGGUCAGACUGGUCUCGAACUCCCAACCUCAGGUGAUCUGCCUGGCUCGGCCUCCCAAACUGCUGGGGUUACAGGUCGUGAUAUCAUUGGGCUUGCAGAAACUGGCUCUGGAAAGACAGGCGCCUUUGCUUUGCCCAUUCUAAACGCACUGCUGGAGACCCCACAGCGUUUGUUUGCCCUAGUUCUUACCCCGACUCGGGAGCU